rnacentral:rRNA from 1 species
CCCUGCAGCCAUAUCGCCCUGCAGCCCAAGACUGGUUGCCCACUGAAGCUAAGCAGGGUUGAAUCUGGUUAGUACCUGGAUGGGAGACCUCCUGGGAAAACUGGGUUGCUGCUGGAA